GUGAAGAACGCAGCGAAAUGCGAUAAGUAAUGUGAAUUGCAGAAUUCAGUGAAUCAUCGAAUCUUUGAACGCACAUUGCGCCCGCCAGUAUUCUGGCGGGCAUGCCUGUUCGAGCGUCAUUACAACCCUCAGGCCCCCGGGCCUGGCGUUGGGGAUCGGCGGUGCCCCCCGUGGGCACACGCCGUCCCCCAAAUACAGUGGCGGUCCCGCCGCAGCUUCCAUCGCGUAGUAGCUAACACCUCGCGACUGGAGAGCGGCGCGGCCACGCCGUAAAACACCCAACUCUUCUGAAGUUGACCUCGAAUCAGGUAGGAAUACCCGCUGAACUUAAGCAUAUCAAUAAGCGGAGGA
rnacentral:misc_RNA from 1 species